rnacentral:misc_RNA from 1 species
GUAUGAAUCUAUCUUUCUACCUAAAGAUAAAAUCUGGGAGGCUUUAAAAUUUAUUUAUUUGUUUCUUGGUCUGAUAUGCUUUGCCAAUAGUUUGAGCAGGUAAUUGGAUGAUGACUAGAACUGUUUUAUGGAUUUAGCUCUUCUUUUUUAAAGAAAAGAAUUUUUCUUAAAAAAAUUCUAUUAACAAUGGUGAAAAUAAUAGAUGAUUAUUGGCAUUGGUAUGUGGGAUUCACAAAUUAGAUUGUUCAUCCUAUAGAGUAAAAUCUUUGUUUCUUACGACAAAUAAACACACACAUAUGCACGCUCACGCACAAAGAAAGAAUAAAAAUGUGAUGAACCAAAAUCAAAUUGGAAGUGGAA